GUGCAGUGAUGUGUAGCUGUGCUGGUGUAUUGAUCAGUGUAGAUGGUGAUCAGCAGACGCUGUUGUAAAUCCUCCCACUGGUUUGCAUUGUGAGUGUGUGAGAGUGUUUCUAGUGCUGUGAGUUGAACACUUGAUGACUGAGAGCAGAACAAACACAAUCUUCAUCAUCAUCAUCAUCAUCAUCAUCAUCAUCAUCACAGCAGACUCAACUACAGCUAUGAUCAACAUCUGCAUCUGCAUCUGGACCGUUGCUGUCUUCAUUCAUGGAUCAUCAGGAGUCACUUUGACUCAACCUGAAGUUAAAACUGUCCAACAAGACGAAACAGCCACAAUAGAGUGUCACAUAGAUGUGGGAAUAUACAGCAACUAUUUAGCCUGGUAUCAGCAGAAACCUGGAGAAACUCCUAAACUCCUGAUCUAUCGGAUAAACAACCGUUACUCAAACACUCCAUCUAGAUUCAGUGGUGGUGGAACAGUGAAUACUGGAAAAGAUUUUACUCUGAGCAUCAGUGGAGUCCAGACUGAAGAUGCUGCAGAUUAUUACUGUCAGAAUGUAGACUGUUCUGGUAGUAGCUGUGUGUUCACACAGUGAUAAAGCGCCGUACAAAAACCUGCUGUUGACACUGACUGCACUGAUUCAGCUGAGAGACACACACACACACACACACACACACACUGAUGAAGGAAACCUCACACACACUUCAUCAAGACUGUAAAUGUUAGUUGAUUUGGUAAAUGUUAAUAUAAUCAGUUCUCCUGGAAACACUGUACAGUAACACUACAUGAAUAAUGAUGUACUAAUAUGUAGAUAUGUAAUGUAAUUAUGAACUAAUGAUGAGUUAAAGCAAGCGCCAAUCAUUAACUAAGCUUAACUACAACAUGAGUUCAUAUGUCAAUAAUGAAGACCUUAAUUACUGCUUACUUCAGGUUUGUUAUUUAA